rnacentral:rRNA from 1 species
GUGGGGAAUAUUGGACAAUGGGCGAAAGCCUGAUCCAGCCAUGCCGCGUGAGUGAUGAAGGCCUUAGGGUUGUAAAGCUCUUUCAGUAGGGAAGAUAAUGACGGUACCUACAGAAGAAGCCCCGGCUAACUUCGUGCCAGCAGCCGCGGUAAUACGAAGGGGGCUAGCGUUGUUCGGAUUUACUGGGCGUAAAGCGCACGUAGGCGGUUUGUUAAGUCAGGGGUGAAAUCCCGGAGCUCAACUCCGGAACUGCCUUUGAUACUGGCAAGCUAGAGUCCGGAAGAGGUAAGUGGAACUCCUAGUGUAGAGGUGGAAUUCGUAGAUAUUAGGAAGAACACCAGUGGCGAAGGCGGCUUACUGGUCCGGAACUGACGCUGAGGUGCGAAAGCGUGGGGAGCAAACAGGAUUAGAUACCCCGGUAGUCC